AGCGUACGCUGGCGGCAGGCCUAACACAUGCAAGUCGAACGAACUCUUCGGAGUUAGUGGCGGACGGGUGAGUAACACGUGGGAACGUGCCUUUUGGUUCGGAAUAACUCAGGGAAACUUGUGCUAAUACCGAAUGUGCCCUUCGGGGAAAGGAUUUAUCGCCAUUAGAGCGGCCCGCGUCUGAUUAGCUAGUUGGUGAG
rnacentral:rRNA from 1 species